CCCUUAGAUGUUCUGGGCCGCACGCGUGCUACACUGAGUGGAUCAGCGGGUCAGGUUGCGCGAAAGCGUUUCCUAAUCUUUAAAUCCGCUCGUGAUGGGGAUUGACGGUUGCAAUUUUCUGUCAUGAACGAGGAAUACCUUGUAAGCGCGGGUCAUCAUCCCGCGCUGAAUACGUCCCUGCCCUUUGUACACACCGCCCGUCGCUCCUACCGAUUGAGUGGUCCGGUGAAUACUUCGGAGUGUGAACUCUACAGUUUCUGUUUUGUUCGCGCAAAGUUGAAUAAACCUUAUCACUUAGAGGAAGGAGAAGUCGUAACA
rnacentral:rRNA from 1 species